rnacentral:rRNA from 1 species
AUACCAGCUGGCUGCAACUGUUUAUUAAAAACACAGCACUGUGCAAACACGAAAGUGGACGUAUACGGUGUGACGCCUGCCCGGUGCCGGAAGGUUAAUUGAUGGGGUUAUCCGUAAGGAGAAGCUCUUGAUCGAAGCCCCGGUAAACGGCGGCCGUAACUAUAACGGUCCUAAGGUAGCGAAAUUCCUUGUCGGGUAAGUUCCGACCUGCACGAAUGGCGUAAUGAUGGCCAGGCUGUCUCCACCCGAGACUCAGUGAAAUUGAACUCGCUGUGAAGAUGCAGUGUACCCGCGGCAAGACGGAAAGACCCCGUGAACCUUUACUAUAGCUUGACACUGAACACUGGUCCUUGAUGUGUAGGAUAGGUGGGAGGCUUUGAAGUGUGGACGCCAGUCUGCAUGGAGCCAUCCUUGAAAUACCACCCUUUAAUGGCUGGUGUUCUAACGUGGACCCGUAAUCCGGGUUGCGGACAGUGUCUGGUGGGUAGUUUGACUGGGGCGGUCUCCUCCUAAAGAGUAACGGAGGAGCACGAAGGUUAGCUAAUCCUGGUCGGACAUCAGGAGGUUAGUGCAAAGGCAUAAGCUAGCUUGACUGCGAGAGUGACGGCUCGAGCAGGUGCGAAAGCAGGUCUUAGUGAUCCGGUGGUUCUGAAUGGAAGGGCCAUCGCUCAACGGAUAAAAGGUACUCCGGGGAUAACAGGCUGAUACCGCCCAAGAGUUCAUAUCGACGGCGGUGUUUGGCACCUCGAUGUCGGCUCAUCACAUCCUGGGGCUGAAGUAGGUCCCAAGGGUAUGGCUGUUCGCCAUUUAAAGUGGUACGCGAGCUGGGUUUAGAACGUCGUGAGACAGUUCGGUCCCUAUCUGCCGUGGGCGCUGGAGAAUUGAGGGGGGCUGCUCCUAGUACGAGAGGACCGGAGUGGACGCAUCACUGGUGUUCGGGUUGUCAUGCCAAUGGCAUUGCCCGGUAGCUAAAUGCGGAAGAGAUAAGUGCUGAAAGCAUCUAAGCACGAAACUUGCCCCGAGAUGAGUUCUCCCUGAGACUAUAAGUCUCCUGAAGGAACGUUGAAGACGACGACGUUGAUAGGUCGGGUGUGUAAGUGUAGCGAUACAUUGAGCUAACCGAUACUAAUGAACCGUGAGGCUUAACCUU